GACGAACGCUGGCGGUGUGCUUAACACAUGCAAGUCGAACGGUAAGGCCCUUUCGGGGGUACACGAGUGGCGAACGGGUGAGUAACACGUGAGUAACCUGCCCUCAUCUCUGGGAUAACAGUCGGAAACGGUUGCUAAUACUGGAUAUGAGCCUGCAAGGCAUCUUUUGGGUUGGAAAGAUUUUUUGGUUGGGGAUGGACUCGCGGCCUAUCAGCUUGUUGGUGAGGUAGUGGCUCACCAAGGCUUCGACGGGUAGCCGGCCUGAGAGGGCGACCGGCCACAUUGGGACUGAGAUACGGCCCAAACUCCUACGGGAGGCAGCAGUGGGGAAUAUUGCACAAUGGACGGAAGUCUGAUGCAGCAACGCCGCGUGCGGGAUGACGGCCUUCGGGUUGUAAACCGCUUUCAAUUGUGACGAAGCUUUUUGUGACGGUAGCAGUAGAAGAAGCACCGGCUAACUACGUG
rnacentral:rRNA from 1 species